CGAGUGGCGGAUAUCCGCUAAAACAAGUAUGGCGGCGCCCGUGGCAGUGAUUAGUGCAGGCUGGAUGUAUCAGGAUGGAGGUGGAAGUAAAGCUGUCGGUGGCACAAAAGCGAAUCAAUGCGGAGUUGGGAUCACAGAGCGGCCUCCAUCUAGUGACCCCGGGGACUCCAUCACCACGGACACGGGACUGAUGAGAGCUCCCAGCACCUUUUAUGCUACCACAGGACUUCAGUGUUGGCAAUGGGACUACAUUUGAUCAGAAGAAUGAAAACACAAGUAACGUAAUCAUUGGUGUUGCUGAUCUAAUUGGUGUUGCUGCCCUUACAAUUACUGCAGUAGCCUGUUGGCAAUGGAAAAAGAUCAGUACAGUCUGUACAUAACCUGCCUAACUGCUAGUUGAUCCAGAGGAAGCAAAAAAAAAAAAAACCCCAUUUGAAGCCUCUCCUAUUUGACUCAGAGGGGGAAAAUAUUCCUUCCUGACUCCAAGAUGCAAUGGGACCAGUCCCUUUAAGAAUGAAUUGUAUAAAACUGGGAAAUCUACAAAUCUUUGCAGCAUUUCUGUCGGUACUUCUGUCCAUUUGGAAUUGUUCUGAUCACUUGAGCAGGCUCCUCUUUACUUCCUAAUCUGCCAAUGCACAAAACACUGGCAUCAGCAGAUGGAUUUUCUAAACAUAGACUAUUCCUAAACUUACUGACUAUAGUACAUGGGUAUUGGUGGAGAGUGCCAGGAACCGUUUGUGUAUGGCCAGGCGCUAAAAACGCCUUUAGAUGCCAAAAACCUUUUUUUUUUUUUUUUCCAUUGUGCAUUUAACUGUUUGUAAUGUUGCUUUAUUUGUCUUUUAUAAGAAAAUACAAAAGGCUUAUUUAUUUUGGUGAUUUCAUUUUAUUUUAAAGAGCAAGAAAUUUAUGCUAGUUUCCCCCCACUGAAUAAGUCUGCUUACUUUGCUCACUACAGUCCAUUUUCCCAUUUCUCUGGUACUUGGAAUCAGACACCGUAAUAUUUUGGCUAUGGGAGGAGUCUGGGAAAUUUACAACAUGAGCCAAAAAAAAGUUUCUGAUUUUACAGUUUUUUCCCUAAAUAAGAUUUAGCUAUAUUUAUAAUGAAUUUUUUUUUUUUCAAAACAAUAUAUUAAAUAUAAUGGAUUAUA